UGUGGGAGUUGAAAGCUUACGGCUGAAGUAUCUCUGGAUGUUGUCGAGCUCACUUAGUUUCUUCCUGUAAAAAUAAGGAUUGGCUUGGAUUUAAAAAAAAAAAACAACAACAAAGAAGAGAAUGUCUAUGUGAGGAAUGAUACCUGAGUGCUGAAAACAGGAAGGAGCUGGAGGGAUUGAUGUCGCCAGUGCUGCUGCUGCAGGCAGAAUGAGCCGCUGUUUGCUCCUGCAGACUCUGAUGGAAACAGCCUCUCCGUGAUGUCGGGUGACGAGAUCUUUUGCUCGGUGUGCUGGCUGAUGUGAGAGGGGAAGCUGCUGUACGUGGCCGUGGUAUGAUAGAGGACAGGCAGUGCCUGGAAUAAAGCCUUCUAAGAAAACACAUUCAUGAAAUUGUGGCCAAUUAAAAAUGUCUUGGACCCCCUUCAGCGGAGUGAUUGACACUUUGAGCUGGCCGUGACACUGACCGCUGAAGUCUGUGAUGUUGUACCAACCACACACCGACUGGAACCCACAGACUAACGGGCACAGGUCUACAGACGCAAAUCCAAUCACCCUCUCCAUUUCUAUGGAAGAAAUCCCCCCCAAGAGAGAAUACAUUUAUCAAAUGAAUCAUGUUAUGAAUCAUUGAAAUGUAUAUUGUGAUGUGUAACUGCUUCCUGUACCUCCUUUGUGCCAGACUUUGAACACAAGUGAUUGUUGUGGAUCCACCAGCAGCUCAUUUGAAAGCCUGUGAAUAAAAAAGGAAG